AGGUGUGUAGCUCAAAGGUAGAGCGGUGCAGGGAUGCUAAAUAGAAGCACAAAGGUUGAAAGACCUCGCAUUUCCGGGCGCAGGUUGCAGGUUCGAAUCCUGCCGCACUUA
rnacentral:tRNA from 1 species